CCCUUGUCCACUCACUCAGAUAUUGAAGUUAGUCAUUGGUGCAUUUUCGCUCCGAUGUUGAAGACUUUUGUUGAUGAAGACUGAGCAUUACACAUAACAGGGAUAAUGUCAAAAAGGCUUUUAUUUUAUCACAAAACCAAUUUGGGAAUAAGACACCUUCUGCAAGACUACCUCAGUAUCACAGGACCCUGUUGGGAAAGCCCUUCCUGCAGAUCCUGAUGCCUUCCAGCACACCGUUACAGCGCAGCUGGUGCAUCACCAGAGGGUUCUCCAUGGCCCCAGGAGUCUUGGUCUCAUUGGGGAUGAGGCAGCGUACAAAGUGAGGUUAUUCAGACAGCGGACCUCUGUGCGGACUCAACUCCUGAUUGCAUGACAGGGGAAUGACCAGCACAGUGCAAAAGACUGAAAAGAGGUGUGAAUAAAAAGCCAGAAGAAUGGCCUAAUACUGUGGAUCUGGCAUGUUAGGAUUCCUAUCGAGAAAGAUAAAGUUGCUCUGCUCUUCUAAGACAAGUGCCGCAGCUGUUGUAGAGUGAGAGCUACGUUCAGGCACUUUAAACGAUCACUCAUCACAGGUCUCCAGCUAGUAUCGAAAACAUUGGAAGGACGGGUCAUGUGAGAUCAAGGUCAGCAUUGAAGACACGUGUCGAGAUGAUUUCUACCCUUCCCUGGGAUCCCUCUGACAGUGAAAGCUGAGCAUCAGUUCCUCCUUUGUGCUGCUGCAGGAUGAAGUACGGUACUUUAAAGACAAAGGGGACCACUUCAGAGGAGAUCCCAAAGGUCUUAGGUGGCCAUCGGCGAGUUUCACUCCUCCUCCAGCCCUUUCUGUGAUGAAGAAUGAUAAGAGAGUAGACAAAGAGAGACGGAUUAGUGACAGAGGACAAAGAAGACUCAACAACAAUUGUUACUGAAGGUAACUUGUCUAAAGACAGUGGUGACGUAAGUGUGAAGUAAGUGGUUCUGACAGUUACUCCACAUGAAAUGGUUUAUUGACCUUUACUGUAGUAUGUUGGCUUGGACACAAAUCAUUUGAAAAGCUUGAACAUUAAUGUUACAUUUGUGGCAAUGAAUCAAACUGGAUGUAUUUCAACACUGUUUCGAAUUUUAAGAAUAUAUGCCUUCAAAAUAGAUUGACAACAAACAAAGUUGGUAAGUACACAAACAUGGCCACAACAUUGGCAUGUUUUACACAGCAUAAGGGCCUUUUUUUUUACUCUAUAAAACUAUAACUUUAUAUAUGUUAUGGUCAACUCACUAAUAUAAAUUAACAGAACAUUUUAGACGUUUUGAUCCUUUCCAGCUGUAGUUAGCAUUAAUGUUGCCCUUCAUUUUGUGGAACAAAAAUGACACGAACACUAACCAAAUAAAUGUAAAAAUACUAAACACAUAAAAAUA